AGGAGCCCAUUCCCCUAUCCUGUGUCAUUGGGGAUCACGGGUGCAGAGGUGAAGGAUGGCCUCAGCCUUCCAGGAGCUGUGGGAGGCUGGGUGUGUCACAGGGGAAGGGGGGAUGUCCCCAUGGCCUACUCUGUACCAGGCCAGCACAGCAAGGGUGGACACAGGGUGCUCCUGGGGUCCAUUGGAUGGUCCUGGGGAGAGCAAACUUGAUUAUUGACCUGCUCCAUGCCCAGUUCUCACCAGAGCUGUGUGGGGACCUCAGUGAUUCUGGGGGUGCACUGGCCAUGGGGGAAGGUGCAGGGGUGUCCCACGGAGUCCUCUCACCACCACACAGGAAAUUUGCCCCAGGGAAGGGCAGAGGCUCAGGUUGGUGAUUUUUGGGACAGUGCCUGCUCUUACACUCCAGGAAGAGCUGCCUGUCUGUGUGUUUUCCUGCCCCUGGGACAUCCCUGGCCCCAACCCAAACAGCAAAACACUGCUCUGCCCUUCCCCUCCCUGUCCCUGUCCUCCCGGUAUCCUGUCCCCGACAGAGGCCCUGGGCCCUGCCAGGCUCAUGUGAGGAGGGAUUUAAUCUCCUUAGGGGCUCAGGGGCCAGGCGGGGGGGCUGCUGCACCCCCACGCUCUGAGCACUCCAAUGCACCUAUUGUUUGGGGCUGGGAGCUGGGGGGACCGAGGUGGGGGGCACGGAACCCCCUGCUCCCCACACAUCCUUCUUUUCCCCCAGGAGCAGAGCAGGGUGUUCCAGAGGAGGAAGGAUGGUCCUUCCUUGGUGCUGGGGCUGAGCAGGAGCUGGAAGAGGAGUGGAUGGCUCUGGAGGGGGCCUCACUCAUUUCCAGAGGGAUUUUGGGGUCCAGCAGCUGGGAUGUCUGGCUUGUCCCUGCACAACCCCCCAGUCCUUCCCCAUCCCUCUGCCAGCAGUGGACAGGUGGUUUGGGAGCCUUGGGCUCACACGUGUGUGGAAAGCCAAAGCCAUCCAGCCCGGCUCCCUCUGGCCCCACUGUCCCAGGGCUCCCUAAUCCUGGCACAGAGACUUUCUGUGUGCACCCAGGGUAUUUUUAUCCUCUUACUGCUGCCUGUUUCCUGUUGAGCUGCAGAUGCUUCAGGCCAGCUCUGCCUCGCCAGCAGGAUGGCUCAGAGCUCCUUAGGUUUGG
rnacentral:lncRNA from 1 species